rnacentral:rRNA from 1 species
UACGUAGGGUCCGAGCGUUGUCCGGAAUUAUUGGGCGUAAAGGGCUCGUAGGCGGUUUGUCACGUCGGGAGUGAAAACUCAGGGCUUAACCCUGAGCGUGCUUCCGAUACGGGCUGACUAGAGGGAUGCAGGGGAGAACGGAAUUCCUGGUGUAGCGGUGGAAUGCGCAGAUAUCAGGAGGAACACCGGUGGCGAAGGCGGUUCUCUGGGCAGUUUCCUGACGCUGAGGAGCGAAGCAUGGGGAGCGAACAGG